GAUGAACGCUGGCGGCGUGCCUAAUACAUGCAAGUCGAGCGAACAGAUGAGGAGCUUGCUCCUCUGACGUUAGCGGCGGACGGGUGAGUAACACGUGGAUAACCUACCUAUAAGACUGGGAUAACUUCGGGAAACCGGAGCUAAUACCGGAUAAUAUAUUGAACCGCAUGGUUCAAUAGUGAAAGACGGUUUUGCUGUCACUUAUAGAUGGAUCCGCGCCGCAUUAGCUAGUUGGUAAGGUAACGGCUUACCAAGGCAACGAUGCGUAGCCGACCUGAGAGGGUGAUCGGCCACACUGGACCUGAGACACGGUCCAGACUCUGACGGGAGGCAGCAGUAGGGAAUCUUCCGCAAUGGGCGAAAGCCUGACGGAGCAACGCCGCGUGAGUGAUGAAGGUCUUCGGAUCGUAAAACUCUGUUAUUAGGGAAGAACAAAUGUGUAAGUAACUAUGCACGUCUUGACGGUACCUAAUCAGAAAGCCACGGCUAACUACGU
rnacentral:rRNA from 1 species